UUGCUCCACCGGAAAAAGAGGAGUGGCGAACGGGUGAGUAACACGUGGGUAACCUGCCCAUCAGAAGGGGAUAACACUUGGAAACAGGUGCUAAUACCGUAUAACAAUCGAAACCGCAUGGUUUUGAUUUGAAAGGCGCUUUCGGGUGUCGCUGAUGGAUGGACCCGCGGUGCAUUAGCUAGUUGGUGAGGUAACGGCUCACCAAGGCGACGAUGCAUAGCCGACCUGAGAGGGUGAUCGGCCACAUUGGGACUGAGACACGGCCCAAACUCCUACGGGAGGCAGCAGUAGGGAAUCUUCGGCAAUGGACGAAAGUCUGACCGAGCAACGCCGCGUGAGUGAAGAAGGUUUUCGGAUCGUAAAACUCUGUUGUUAGAGAAGAACAAGGAUGAGAGUAACUGUUCAUCCCUUGACGGUAUCUAACCAGAAAGCCACGGCUAACUACGUGCCAGCAGCCGCGGUAAUACGUAGGUGGCAAGCGUUGUCCGGAUUUAUUGGGCGUAAAGCGAGCGCAGGCGGU
rnacentral:rRNA from 2 species